rnacentral:rRNA from 1 species
UUAAAAAGCUCGUAGUUGAACUUUGGGCCUGGCUGAUCUGUCCUCCUAAUCGAGCGCACGGAUUCGGUCGGGCCUUUCCUCCUGGGGAACCCGAUGCCCUUCAGUGGGCGUCGUGGGGAACCAGGACUUUUACCUUGAAAAAAUUAGAGUGUUCAAAGCAGGCCUUUGCUCGAAUACAUUAGCAUGGAAUAAUAGAAUAGGACAUCGGUUCUAUUUUGUUGGUUUCUAGGACCGCUGUAAUGAUUAAUAGGGAUAGUCGGGGG